UACGUAGGGUGCAAGCGUUGUCCGGAAUUAUUGGGCGUAAAGAGCUCGUAGGCGGUCUGUCACGUCGGCUGUGAAAACCUGGGGCUCAACUCCGGGCCUGCAGCCGAUACGGGCAGACUAGAGUUCGGCAGGGGAGACUGGAAUUCCUGGUGUAGCGGUGAAAUGCGCAGAUAUCAGGAGGAACACCGGUGGCGAAGGCGGGUCUCUGGGCCGAUACUGACGCUGAGGAGCGAAAGCGUGGGGAGCAAACAG
rnacentral:rRNA from 1 species